UUGCCAGCCGCCGCGGUUAUACGAAAGGCUCAAGUUGAUAAACUUCGGCGUAAAGUGUGGUUAAGGAAAUUUUUCAACUAAAGCCGAACGCCUAUAAAAGCAGUGAUACGCUUAUUAAGGCAUGAAGCCCCUCUACGAAAGUGGCUUUAUAAACCCUGAAUCCACAAAAGCUAUGAAACAAACUGGGAUUAGAUACCCCACUAUGCUUAGCCAUAAACAUUGAUAGAAUACUACAUAUUUCUAUCCGCCUGGGAAUUACGAGCAUUAGCUUAAAACCCAACGGACUUGGCGG
rnacentral:rRNA from 1 species